rnacentral:lncRNA from 1 species
UAUAAAAACAUAAAAAAAAUGCAACCCAAAAUUUUCUACAUAAAGAUAGGAACGUUGAAAAAAAAAUUCUUUACGACUACAAGCUAGUGAGAGGCUAGGUCAUCACUACUACAGUUUCUUUAUGCUUCGAAAGAAAAAUCUCGACACAUAAUUUUCAUUUCUAAAAAAUUUCAUCGACAUGCGUAGAAAAAAAAAAUUAUAGUAGUAUUUUAUUUUUAAGACAUUUUGAAGUAGACACGUAAGAAUUCCACUUAGCCCUUUUACAGGCAUAAAAUACAAUAAAAUUAGAAAGGGGUCGUACAUUUAUUGUCUCAACUUAACAAUUUAUUGCUAAAUAUUAGGUUUUAUCAUAAAGGCCUUAGUGAUACUAGGAGUGCAACAUCACAUAUAUAUAAGUUGAAUAUUCUUUUUUCAUAUACUAGAUAUGGGAUCCUAUUCUCCCACAACUAUAUCUUGACAAUGCAUGUUGUUUAUACCAUACUUAGGGCCUCCGUAUUUAGACCUCGUAUAAAUACUCGGGGGACUCAAAUGU